rnacentral:rRNA from 1 species
GACUACCGGGGUAUCUAAUCCUGUUUGCUACCCACGCUUUCGUGCCUCAGUGUCAGUAAUGGUCCAGAAAGCCGUCUACACCGCAGGUGUUCCUCCUGAUAUCUACGCAUUUCACCGCUACACCAGGAAUUCCGCUUUCCUCUCCCAUACUCAAGCAUCGCAGUCUUCGGCGCACCCUCCCAGUUAAGCCGGGAGAUUUCACACCAAACUUACGACACCACCUACACACUCUUUACGCCCAGUAAUUCCGAACAACGCUUGCUGCCUACGUAUUACCGCGGCUGCUGGCACGUAGUUAGCCGCAGCUUCUUCUGCAGGUACCGUCAUUAUCGUUCCUGCCGAAAGAGCUUUACACCCCGAAGGGCUUCAUCGCUCACGCGGCGUCGCUGCAUCAGGGUUUCCCCCAUUGUGCAAGAUUCCCCACUGCAGCCGCCCGUAGG